rnacentral:rRNA from 1 species
AUGACUUCAUGCUUCUCUGAUAUAAUCAAAGAUCAUUCCCUAGAUUUCAUUUGCCUUCAAGAAACUAUGAAAAAAAACUUCCCCCCGAAAAAUCUUAGAAAGAUUGAUCGUAUGAAUAAUUUUGAUUGGAAUUGGGUACCCUCAAAUGGUAAAGCAGGCGGUAUCCUUUGUGGUGUCAGGAAGGAAACCUUAGAAGUAAUAUCCUGGACCUCGGGUAGAUUCUGUUUACAGGCAAACCUAUAUGAUGUUAAGCUCGAUCGUGUUUGGGCGAUCGUUAUAGUUUACGGGGCGGCUCAUGACGACAGUAAAGAUGACUUCCUUGUUGAGCUUGCCUCAAUGUGCUCGUGAAUUCAUGUCCCUUAUAUAGGGGGUGACUUUAAUAUCUUGCAAAGUAAUGAUGAUAAAAAUAAACCUAUGAGUCGAUCGCCUUAUGUUGACAAGUUCAACUCCCUUAUUAACUCUCUGUGUCUUAGAGAGAUUCACAUGGGUGGAGGUAGAUACACGUGGACUAACAAUCAAAAGCACCCUACCCUAGAGAAACUUGACAGAAUUUUGAUGAGUUUUGAGUGGGAAGAUUUAUUCCCUUUGGUUACAGUCCGUAAGCUGGUAAGGGACGUAUCUGAUCAUAACCCUCUCUUAAUUUCCUCGGGGGCGAAAAAUCCUGACACCCCAUGA